ACCUUAAAGCUAGCCUAAUUACUUAUUUAACUAGUCCUUAUUAAUCUAAUUAAUACCAAAAUCCUUAACUAAAACAUUUUCUAACCUUUAGUAUGGGCGACAGAACAAAAACUCAGCGCAAUAACUUAUGUACCGCAAGGGAAGGCUGAAAAAGAAAUGAAAUAAAUAAUUAAAGUACUAAAAAGCAGAGAUUACUUCUCGUACCUUUUGCAUCAUGAUUUAACUAGUAAAACUAGGCAAAGAGACCUUAAGUCUACCCUCCCGAAACUAAACGAGCUACUCCGAAGCAGCAUAAUAGAGCCAACCCGUCUCUGUGGCAAAAGAGUGGGAAGACUUCCGAGUAGUAGUGAAAAGCCUACCGAGUUUAGUGAUAGCUGGUUACCCAAGAAAAGAACUUAAAUUCUGCAUUAAUUUUUUAUAAUUAAAUAAGAUUUACUCAACAAAGUAAGAUAUAAGAAUUAAUAGUUAUUUAGAAGAGGUACAGCCCUUCUAAAUUAAGAUACAACUUUCUAAGGUGGGAAACGAUCAAUUACUAAGGUAUUUAUCCUCAGUGGGCCUAAAAGCAGCCACCUGUCAAGUAAGCGUCACAGCUCCAGUACUAUAAAAACCUAUAAUUUAAUUAUAUAUUCACAACCCCCUAAUUCCUAUUGGGUUAUUUUAUAAAAUUAUAAAAGAACCUAUGCUAAAAUGAGUAAUAAAGAGGAUAAACCUCUCCCGACACAAGUGUAUAUCAGAAAGAAUUAAAUCACUGAUAAUUAAACGAACCCAAAUUGAGGUCAUUGUACUUUAAAAUAUUAAACCAGAAAACCCUAUUUUAUUAUUCGUUAACCCUACACAGGACUGUCCCAAGGAAAGAUUAAAAGAAAGUAAAGGAACUCGGCAAACACAAACUCCGCCUGUUUACCAAAAACACCGCCUCUUGGCGUUUUAUAAGAGGUCCCGCCUGCCCUGUGACAAUGUUCAACGGCCGCGGUAUUUUGACCGUGCAAAGGUAGCGUAAUCACUUGUCUUUUAAAUAAAGACCCGUAUGAAAGGCACCACGAGAGUUUAACUGUCUCUAUUUUCUAAUCAAUGAAAUUGAUCUAUCCGUGCAGAAGCGGAUAUUUUAACAUAAGACGAGAAGACCCUAUGGAGCUUAAAACACUUAGAUUAAUUAUGUAAUUCUUUACCUCUCAGGAUUUAAACAAAAAAUAUAAUUCUCCUAAUUUAACUGUUUUUGGUUGGGGUGACCAAGGGGAAAAAGAAAUCCCCCCUAUCGACCGAGUACUCGGUACUUAAAGAUUAAAGUGACAACUUUAAUUAAUAAAAUAUUUAUCGAAAAAUGACCCAGGAUUUCCUGAUCAAUGAACCAAGUUACCCUAGGGAUAACAGCGCAAUCCUUUCCUAGAGUUCCUAUCGACGAAAGGGUUUACGACCUCGAUGUUGGAUCAGGACAUCCUAAUGGUGUAACCGCUAUUAAGGGUUCGUUUGUUCAACGAUUAAUAGUCCUACGUGAUCUGAGUUCAGACCGGAGAAAUCCAGGUCAGUUUCUAUCUAUGAGUUUACUUUUCCUAGUACGAAAGGACCGGAAAAGUGGGGCCAAUGCCAUUGGCACGCCCCAUUUUCAUCUAUUGAAUUAAACUCAAAUAGAUAAGAAAAGAUCACCGAUGGCCCAAGAAAUGGGUUG
rnacentral:rRNA from 1 species